rnacentral:rRNA from 1 species
CCUACGGGAGGCAGCAGUGAGGAAUAUUGGUCAAUGGGCGAGAGCCUGAACCAGCCAAGUCGCGUGAGGGAGUACUGCCCUAUGGGUUGUAAGCCUCUUUUGUCGGGGAGCAAAAGCCGGACGUGUCCGGCUGUGAGAGUCCCCGACGAAAAAGCAUCGGCUAACUCCGUGCCAGCAGCGGCGGUAAUACGGGGGAUGCGAGGGUUAUCCGGAUUUACUGGGUUUAAUGGGUGCGCAGGCGGAUUUUUACGUGGGCGGUAAAAUCGUGGGGCUCAACCCCAUCCAGCCGUGGAAACUGGGGAUCUUGAGUGUGCGAGAGGUAUGCGGAAUGCGUGGUGUAGCGGUGAAAUGCAUAGAUAUCACGCAGAACCCCGAUUGCGAAGGCAGCAUACCGGUGCACAACUGACGCUCAGGCACGAAAGCGUGGGUAUCGAACAGGAUUAGAUACCCUAGUAGUC